rnacentral:rRNA from 1 species
AUUGAACGCUGGCGGCAUGCCUUACACAUGCAAGUCGAACGGUAACAGGUCUUCGGAUGCUGACGAGUGGCGAACGGGUGAGUAAUACAUCGGAACGUGCCCAGACGUGGGGGAUAACGAGGCGAAAGCUUUGCUAAUACCGCAUACGUUCUAAGGAUGAAAGCAGGGGACCGCAAGGCCUUGUGCGUUUGGAGCGGCCGAUGGCAGAUUAGGUAGUUGGUGGGAUAAAAGCUUACCAAGCCGACGAUCUGUAGCUGGUCUGAGAGGACGACCAGCCACACUGGGACUGAGACACGGCCCAGACUCCUACGGGAGGCAGCAGUGGGGAAUUUUGGACAAUGGGCGAAAGCCUGAUCCAGCAAUGCCGCGUGCAGGAUGAAGGCCUUCGGGUUGUAAACUGCUUUUGUACGGAACGAAAAGGCUCUGGCUAAUACCUGGGGCACAUGACGGUACCGUAAGAAUAAGCACCGGCUAACUACGUG